rnacentral:rRNA from 1 species
AUGAGGCUGGCAUGUUUGGUUGUUGCUGGGUGUUGUGUUGGUAAGAGUCUGAAGAUGCUGGUGCCUUUUGUCCUGAGCAUGCAGGCAGAGCUUGGCCGUGUUGUUUCAGAGUGGGACAUGGAAGGAAACAUUGUUCACCAUUGGUGGCAAUACAUGCCUUUGAAGUUUCCUGCCAUGGCUGCUAAAUUCAAUUCUCUCAAGUGGCAAAUUAUGAAUAUUUGUCUGAACAAUGCAGUUGCUGAACAUUCCAAUGUUUGCCGAUGUCUGACCAUUCAAUUCUGUCAAGCAAGAAGCAGAGGCUACUUAGAGGAUGCAAAUAUGUCAUGUGAAGAACCGAAAUGGAAAUGGAUAGCUGAAGGAUUCAUUGCGACAAAACGGGCUCAUGAUAUGGUGCUUGACCUUAUAAUAUCUCUAUCAGAUGAAGAGAAUUUUGCCACAGUUUUAAACCGUCUCUGCAAUCCUUUGCCAAACAAGAACCAUCGACUCUCGCUGCAAUCUUGUGGGUUUGAACAUAAAUGGGCAAUCCAUACCAUCACAGGAAGCAAGUUACAUAUCCGCUCAUGGAAUGUGUUUGGAGAAACAAAGCGGAUACCCCCACUAGUGGACUCCCAGUCUUUGCGCGUGUUUGACAUAUGUGGUGGGGUUAGAAAAUUGUCAUCAAGCAUAGCCCUGCUACUGAAACUGGUGCGCCUAUUCAUUGACCAAGACACCGUGUUUCCUGGAGAUAUGUUUGGGAGAAUGCAAGCCCUAGAGGAAGUGUCAGAUAUCUGUAAAGUUGACAAGCCUGAGAAAUUUUUGGAAGGCCUUGGACAUCUAACCAGACUGAGAAAGAUUUUGAUGGGUGAAUUAUUGAAUUGUCCUGAUGAGGAUAAUAACAGAUUCAAGCUGCGAGAGGUGUUCGACUAUAGUAUUUGGUGUGGCGAAGAAAUGGGUAUAAAAUUUGCAGCAGGCAUCGAACAUCUUGCAAGCCUUGUGUACCUCCUGGUCCAAACUUUUUAUGAUGAUGCAACUCGGGAGGAGGUCUUGAAGAUGAGAUGCUUAAGAGUUACGAGGAGAGGGCAAAGGAGGGGGAUAGGCGUAGGGAAGCAGGUGAGUAUGUGCCUGCCCUGA